CCAGUUUGGCAUGGACAACCUGUUUUUCAGCUGCUUUUAAAUGUUUCUCUCUGCUUCUCCUAGGACCUCAUUACAUUAUCUUGGGGAUUUGUCAUGUAUCAUGGUGAAUUCAUGGGAUCCAAGCGGUGGAUGUGGAGAACCCAUCACUCCACACCCUGCAUCAUGCAACUUACCUGGGAUCCCAUCCACCACCCAGCUUCCCUCCAUUGUUCUGAAUGCAGCACCAGAAGCUUCCCAUGUUGCAUGACAUAUGCUGCUUGCUCUUCCCUUUUCCAAUGGAACCCGGCUGGAAGUGCACAUGCAUCAUGUAAUGGGCUCCACCUCAAAAGGGUAAACAAGCAGCAUACAACGGGCAAAGUAGCUCAUCUGAUGAAAUGAUUACUGUCAGAUAGAAAUCCCUCAACAUUGAAUGUGAAAAUACAGUUUUGAUGGACAUGUGAUAACACCUGGGGAAUGACUGAGAAAGUCAUGAUGAAAUAGUUAAGGGGCAUGUAGUAAUGUCUGAGUCAUAAUCAUGUAAGGUUUAUGACAAGGGUUUGCAUCAGUCAUUUGUCACUUACUGAUGACAAGUCAGCAGGUGGUUAUAAAAGAUAAAUGAAAUGCUCAAUCUUUCUCUUCUUGUGUGAAUCUUCUUGUGAAUAUCUCUCUGUGGUGACUCUGAGGUUUGUUUACAGUUAUUGAAAAAAUACUUUAGGCUAUGUCUUAGAUGAGGAGGACAGAAUGGAAUGAAGACAAGAAGGAAUAGCUCAAGUUGCUAUUAAUCAAAUGAGAAUACUGAAGCACCAUCAACAUUUUGAAAAUUCUACAGAGGAUGAGACUGCUGAUUUGAUCCAUCAAUCAGCUGUGAUUCACACAGACAAGAAAAUAUUGCUCUUUCACCUCCUAUGCUGACAAGAAGAGCUAGAAAGGUGGUGACACAAUAAAACAAUUUUCUGAA